AGAGUUUGAUCCUGGCUCAGGAUGAACGCUGGCGGCGUGCCUAAUACAUGCAAGUCGAACGCUUCACUUCGGUGAAGAGUGGCGAACGGGUGAGUAAUACAUAAGUAACCUGGCAUCUACAGGGGGAUAACUGAUGGAAACGUCAGCUAAGACCGCAUAGGUGUAGAGAUCGCAUGAACUCUAUAUGAAAAGUGCUACGGGACUGGUAGAUGAUGGACUUAUGGCGCAUUAGCUGGUUGGUAGGGUAACGGCCUACCAAGGCGACGAUGCGUAGCCGACCUGAGAGGGUGACCGGCCACACUGGGACUGAGACACGGCCCAGACUCCUACGGGAGGCAGCAGUAGGGAAUUUUCGGCAAUGGGGGAAACCCUGACCGAGCAACGCCGCGUGAAGGAAGAAGUAAUUCGUUAUGUAAACUUCUGUCAUAGAGGAAGAACGGUGGAUAUAGGGAAUGAUAUCCCAGUGACGGUACUCUAUAAGAAAGCCACGGCUAACUACGUGCCAGCAGCCGCGGU
rnacentral:rRNA from 1 species